AUCUCCCCCCUCUUCUCUUCCCUUUUUUUCUUUUCCCCCUCUCUUCUUUUCCUCUCUUCCCUCCUUUUCCUUUUCUCUCCCUCUCUUUACUGGCCCAUUUGCUUGUGUGAUUGGCGGAGGUUUCGGGGUGCUCUUUACUGAGUGUCCCGGGGCGCCGUCAGGUUUACUUUGAAAAAAUUAGAGUGCUCAAAGCAAGCUUUUCACGCUUGAAUAUUCGUGCAUGGAAUAAUAGAAUAGGAACUCGUUUCUAUUUUGUUGGUUUUCGGAAAUCGAGUUAAUGAUUAAUAGGGACAAUUGGGGGCAUUAGUAUUCAGGCGACAGAGGUGAAAUUCUUGGACCGUCUGAAGACUAACUACUGCGAAAGCAUUUGCCAAGAGUGUUUUCA
rnacentral:rRNA from 1 species